ACGCAGAGUCUCUUGCCCAGAGUAGGGGACUCAAGAACCAGAGGACAUAGGUUUAAGGUGAAGGGGAAAAGAUUUAAUAGGAAUCUGAGGGGUAACUUUUGCACACAAAGGGCGGUGGGUGUAUGGAACAAG